UGCACAUGUUCUCUAACCUAUUUUCCUUCCAGAGUGGAAAUGAAGGGGAAAAAUUCCACAAAAAUGUGCAGAGCAUAGGAAAUAUGCUGGCGACCGUCAGGGGUGUAGCCGGGGCCUCGGGCCAGACAAGCAGGCACGAGGCAGAAGCCAGAGGCGAGAGGAGCCGACUGCUGGACUUGAGACCAGAAACUGAAGUCUCGGAAAUCCCCCCGCCCCCACCAGUGGACCCCACCAGACCUGGCUGUACACAGGGUUUCUCUGUGUAGCUUUGUGCCUUUCCUGGAACUCACUUGGUAUCCCAGGCUGGCCUCGAACUCACAGAGAUCUGCCUGGCUCUGCCUCCCGAGUGCUGGGAUUAAAGGCGUGCGCCACCACCGCCCAGCUGAGACGCUGACUCUUAAAGAGCAAGGUACCUGAAGAAUGAUACCAGAGGUUGUUCUCUGGCCUUCACAGUGCACCUGCACACACACAAACACGCACACACAGAAAUCCGUCCACAUAAACUGUGAAGGAUGGAGCAGGCAACGGCUGAGCGGGCACGCUAAGACAGCAGGAACCCUUGAAAAGGCGCGAGCUGGCCUCCCACAGAUGGCGUCUGAACGGGGACUUGGGGGCACGGGAAAUACGGGAGAGUAGGGAGCAUUGUGGAAGCAGCUGAGCAUGUCUGGUUAUGAAUUAAAGUUAAGACAGUGGUAUUUUAUUCUUCUGGAGCAAAAACUGUAUAUAGAUAAAGCAGAAUAGUUCAAGCUGGGCUGCAGCAUCUCUGUCUAUGUCUAUGGUGAUGCCAGAGCCAUGGGAUGUCUGCAGAGGGAAGCUGCAGACAGGGAGUGGAACCAGCAGCCCCCAGAGAGAGGAAAGCUGCAUUCAACAAAGCCGGAAGGAGUAGUCGAUCUGAAGAACCGUCUAAGCAUUUUAAUAUCAGGAGAGACUUUGAAUUUUUAAACAGUGUUGAAAUUGUGAAAGACUUUAGGGACUUUUAAGCUGGACUAAAUAAAUACUGCAUUAUGAUAUGGCCAUGAUAUGGCCAGGGAA